AACGAACGCUGGCGGCAGGCCUAACACAUGCAAGUCGAGCGCCCCGCAAGGGGAGCGGCGGACGGGUGAGUAACGCGUGGGAACGUACCCUUUGCUACGGAAUAGCCUCGGGAAACUGGGAGUAAUACCGUAUGUGCCCUUCGGGGGAAAGAUUUAUCGGCAAAGGAUCGGCCCGCGUUGGAUUAGGUAGUUGGUGGGGUAAUGGCCUACCAAGCCGACGAUCCAUAGCUGGUUUGAGAGGAUGAUCAGCCACACUGGAACUGAGACACGGUCCAGACUCCUACGGGAGGCAGCAGUAGGGAAUAUUGGACAAUGGGCGCAAGCCUGAUCCAGCCAUGCCGCGUGAGUGAAGAAGGCCCUCGGGUUGUAAAGCUCUUUUGUCCGGAAAGAAAAGCGCCGGGUUAAUACCCUGGUGUCCUGACGGUACCGGAAGAAUAAGCACCGGCUAACUUCGUGCCAGCAGCCGCGGUAAAGUACAGUGU
rnacentral:rRNA from 1 species